UGCCAGCCGCCGCGGUAAUACGGAGGGAUCGAGCGUUGCUCGGAAUUACUGGGCGUAAAGGGCGCGUAGGCGGUCUUGUAUGUCGGGCGUGAAAGCCCCGGGCUCAACCCGGGAUGUGCGUCCGAAACUGCAAGUCUAGAGUCUCGGAGAGGGAGGUGGAAUUCCCGGUGUAGCGGUGAAAUGCGUAGAUAUCGGGAAGAACACCAGUGGCGAAGGCGCUCUGCUGGGCCAUCACUGACGCUCAUGGACGAAAGUCAGGGGAGCGAAAGGGAUUAGAUA
rnacentral:rRNA from 1 species